GACGAACGCUGGCGGCGUGCUUAACACAUGCAAGUCGAACGGUAAGGCCCUUCGGGGUACACGAGUGGCGAACGGGUGAGUAACACGUGGGUGAUCAGCCCUGCACUUCGGGAUAAGCCUGGGAAACUGGGUCUAAUACCGGAUAGGACUCCGGACUGCAUGGUCUGGGGUGGAAAGCUUUUGCGGUGUGGGAUGGGCCCGCGGCCUAUCAGCUUGUUGGUGGGGUGAUGGCCUACCAAGGCGACGACGGGUAGCCGGCCUGAGAGGGUGACCGGCCACACUGGGACUGAGAUACGGCCCAGACUCCUACGGGAGGCAGCAGUGGGGAAUAUUGCACAAUGGGCGCAAGCCUGAUGCAGCGACGCCGCGUGAGGGAUGACGGCCUUCGGGUUGUAAACCUCUUUCAGCACAGACGAAGCGCAAGUGACGGUAGGUGCAGAAGAAGGACCGGCCAACUACGUGCCAGCCGCCGCGGUAA
rnacentral:rRNA from 1 species